rnacentral:rRNA from 1 species
CCGGCCGCCAGCGGCGCUCGCAAAGUUCGGAUCCGCAAGGACCGGGCCAGCGGGACGUCCGCGUGGCAGGGUGCACUUUCUCCGCGGUCGAGUGCUACGACCGGUUUUGCGGCGGUCAGAAGCCCGGCGGUAAGGUAGCGCCGCCCUUCGGGGUGUCGUGUUAUAGACCGCCGCGGUGGACACGCCGCGAGACCGAGGACGCUUGCCGCGCCGUGCGGUCCCGGGCCGUCUGGGGAGGUUCGACCUCGGCUGCACUGCUCCGCAGAGCACCGUAACCGCCGCCCUAGCACGGGUCCGGAGACUGCCGGCGCCUCGGGUCAGUAGCG